rnacentral:sRNA from 1 species
GCUGGGCAUGGUGGUGCAUGCCUGUAAUCCCAGCAAUUUGGGAGGUGGAGGCAGGAGGAUCAGAAGUUCGAGGCCAGCUUUGGCAAGUUAGUGAGAGCAUCUCACUUAUAGGACUGGGGAUGUAGCUCAGGGGUGAAAUGUCCCUGGCUUCAAUCUCCAGUUUCAUUUUACUCUUUAUUUUGAGACAGGGUCUCACUAAGUUGCCAAGACUGGCCUUGAAUUUUUUUAUCCUCUUGCCU